UGUUCUCUCAAAAAACGCAGAAUUUUAAAGUCCUUCAAAGGCAAAAUGCCAUUCCCAAGUCCUCAACGUAAACCACAGCUGGAUAACGCCAUUUUUGGCUAAAAUUCCAGCAUACUUUCGUGAGAUUCAGCCAUUUUUCGUCCGCUUAUAGCAAGAAAUUUAUUGAUCCUUGUUUUCUUCCUCUCGUGAAGUCAAACAAACGGUAACUUUUCUUUUUUUAUCUUUUCGAUUUUCCCUUUUCUUUUCAAAAGAUUCGGAUUUCGCCGUCGCUGCUAGACAAAAAGGUAAUAUCGCUUUCCUUUUCCUUUUUUUAAGGAUUCAUAAGUAAGAGUUGAAGACAUCAGAAGGAAUCUUCUUCCUUAGCUUAGUUGUUAGUUCUGUGUGUUUGUUUUAACUUUCGCAUAGAUUAGCUUAGCUGUAGCUAAUCUACUUCCUUAUCUUAGUUACUACUUCUGUGUGUUUACAGUAGAUUCGACUUGUUGAGUUAUUAGUUCUCCUUUUCUUCAUAUGUGUGAAGCAUGUAUUUAUAGUAAUCGACAUAUAUGAAGUUAAUAUCAAGACGGGAGUUGUUUGCUUAAAUGACGACUCUUUGUUUCUUCACUUGAAAUCAGCCUAAUCCCCCUUUUAUUCAUGUCAAGUGCAUAAACUGUUUACUCGCUCUUUAGAUAAUAUACUGGCAUUCUUCAUUUUUACAUGAACAUGAACCUAGUUCAGUAGGUGUCUCUAUUAAAAAGGCUGUGUUUAAGUUAAAAAGUCCUCUUUGAUUCAUUAGCUAUGCAAACAGCUGAAUAUUAGUUCGUUAACCAUGUUUGAAUUCAAAAAUGAUUCUCUCUCCAAUUGACUUGCUUGAAUGUUUAAAUUGUUGAAAAGAUAAGAAUAGGCUGUGGUAGAGUUUAUUAUGCCACUGGAGUAUUAAUAUCUGUUUUCUUACAGUGCUGGUUCGGAUUUUCAGUUUCCAUUGGUUAAAUGCCCCACAUUAUGUUUUUCCUCUUAUCUAGUAGCCCUCAGAUUCCUGGAGGAAUCCUUAUAUUAUGUGUGUACUAGUUAAUAUUUUCCAAGCACUGUCUUCAGUUAAGUGCUAAGAGAUAGGCUUCAUUUAAAUUUGGCUCAGAAUAUGAGUUUCUAUGUUUAGUUUAGAGGAACGGAUAAUUCCAUGGCUUGUUUGAGCUUUUGUUUGUUUCGUUUUGUUUAUUAUCUCAAGCUCCAAAAUUGCUUUUGUUAGAAUAGUGGUUCUCGUAAGGGGUAGCUUAUUUUAUGGUUUGAGCAAGUGUGCAUUUUCCCUGGUGAUCAGUGAACCAUUUAGCUUAGCAGAAAACACAUUUGUACCAAAGAUUUAAUUGAUUUUGAACAGCCAAAUACUUUAGCCAAGUUUGCUGCCACAAUAAAUAAGAAUCUGCAAGCUUCUUUCCCCUUUCAAACAUCCACUUUUGGUUCUGUUUUGAAAACAAAUGUAAAGGCUUAGAAAUAAACCUCUUAGAGUUUGAAACUACUUAGUCCAAUUGAGUUUCAAUAUUAACCUUUGUUUAGCACUUCAGAUGUUCUAAAAGAGAACGAACAGUUAUUAGUUUGUGUUCAUUUCCCCUAAAAAGAUCAGUCAAUCAUCUAAUUGAGAACCCCUUAUACAAGGCUGAGAUCAGAGUACUUUUUUUUUUUUUAAUUUUUUUACUAAAUAAGGGAUUGAGUUUAGUUGUGUCUUCAAACAUCAACUCUCUAAGUCAAAAUUCUGGAUUCCCUUUGUACUUCUUAAGGUCAAAAUUUAAUGAUGUGUUUGUUGACUUCUUCACUGCUCCAACAUGUUGUCUUUUCAAGGUUAAUUAUGAAAUGUGUUCUGUCGUAAGCCAGAACUCUUCCUUCUCUUUCUUGAUGAUUUAAAAUUAUUUUGGUUCUGUUUGACACUAGACAAUAGGAUUUGCUUCCUCUAGAGCUCAAGAAUGAUUUUGAAAAUAAAUCAGAUGAUUUGCUUGUUGAUAACGCUUUAGUUGAAGUUGGUUUAGUAUGUUCUAAUUGAUUUCUCAUAUCCCCCAUAAGUGCUUAAGAGUUUCCAAGUAACUUGAAACACUAGUUUUCUAAAGUUAGUAGUUAUCCUGUGACUUAAAAAGGACUAUUGCAGUUUGAACUCAACUUAUUUCAGUAGUUUUGGACAGCCUCAGUAUAAGAGGUCCACAUUCAUUUGAGGCAUCAUUUCAGUGGCUGCUCUUUUUCCCUUUAAGUUGAGUAUUAGAUUUGAAAUGAAGUUGAAUAUCUUGCCUUGUGUGGAUGAGCUAGAGCUUAUUUGUAUUUAUGUUGACCCAGUGAUAAGUUAUGAAGGGUUAGUCUCAAGAGGAUAAAUUUAAGUUUUAAGUUACUGGUUUAGAAAUCACACACUCAUGGCAUCUUGCCUUAAACAUUCGUGCUCUGUCCAAUAUGAAAUAGUUCUGUUUGACCAUUAUGAAACAAUCUAUUAAACUUUUCCUGUUGAAGUGUCCAUUUGGGUUUACAUUCAAAAGUGUUGAAUUUUAGAAGUAACAUUCGAUUUAAUUUAACUCUUAUCUGUUCCUUUCUUUCUAAAAGAUGCUUAUGUGCAUAUUUGAUUUUUUUUUUUUUUUUGGCAUAGAGUUUCAACAAUUAUAUUUCUGCAUUUGAAGUUUGAGAGUUGGUUUAUUUGAUUAGUGCUUGUGUGUUUUUUCUGGGAACUAAACGAGGUUUGUGAAUAAUAACUUAAAGCUCUAAGGAGCCCAUCUUUUCUCCUUAACAACUUAAGCGGCUCUAUCUUUUUUUUUUUUUAAAUAGGCUACUGGGAUAGAUUUGAGCUUCCGAAAAUCAAUAGUCAUAUCUUAAGAAUUCUUGAGUGACUGGUUAUUCGUGACCUGAUGCUUAUUUUUUAGAAAAUAUGUUGAGUGCACUAAUCUCCUUUGCUGCUUUGAGUAUUUUGCGUAUUAGUUUAACACUAAUCUUUUCUUUACUAAUCCUUAUUUUCUCUACUUUCUAUGCGUGAACACUCGUACGAGUCCAACGGAUUCAUCCUAGCAACCCCGCAUUAUCUCGUUGCGUUGGAAGCCCAACAUGCAUUAGAGCGAGUCGGACCACAGAGAUUGAAGGCCCAAUCAUGGGUGAACCAUGGGUGAACAUGGUUCAAGUUUAGGUUGGUGGGAUUAGUUAAAGGGAGGCAAAGAGGAGGCAAAGAGCAAUCACAUAGUGUAGUUAGUUCAACAUGAUUGUUGUAAAGAAGACCGUAAGACUCUUGCUUUCUCAUUCGAAGAUCCGGCUUAUCCGAUUGUUGUAAGUAACAAGCCUUUGCUUCUUGCCAUAAUUGUAGAAGCUAGAAGAAUUGUGUUCCGAGUGCAUGCCUUUGCAUCCCAUCGAAUGUGUUCCGAUUGCACGCCUUUGCAUCCCAUCGAAUGUGUUCCGAUUGCACGCCUUUGCAUCCCAUCAAACUUUCUACUUCAUAAGUCAUGUUGCCUUACAUUUGUAUUGUUUACCUUUAAUAAGCUUGAAAAUGUAUAUUGUAAUGUGUGUAGGAUUUUUAUAAGAGAUAUAAGUGUUUGAUAUAUCUGCAGCUAAGUCAUAGUGUCUGUUAAACUUGCUCUAUAUCGGAGGUUUAUGCGUGUCAGUGGGAAGGCGUCUCAUUUUACAGAAAAAUCCAAUAACGUAUAUAUGCAGUUUUCUUUUCGUGAGUAGAAAAUUACUCCCAUGGUUGUGCGUUCAUCAGUAGAAAUUAUAUGUACAAUUCAGCUAGGAAAGAUUUACUUUAUAGUUCUUAUAAAUAGUGGAUGAUAUUUUUGCCGCAUAGCAGUCAGUUGUUUGGCUCUUUUUUCUUCUCUAUAACACUUCAUAUUUACUAUUGUAAUAGAGGAAGGCGAUGAAGAGUUAGUGAUUGCAACGACGGAUUGCAGUAGAUGAGGAUAACAAAAUGUCGACGUACAAGGAGUCGAUAAUAAUCCCUUUCCCUUGAGUAAUGCAGUUGUGGACAAGGCAUACUUUGUAUAAAUACCUUUAUCAAUUUAACUUGCUCCUAACUUUUUAGUAGUUUUUAUGAAUGUACCAUUGCUCAAAUUUGUCACAAUCUUGUCUCAGGAAUUCUUCAUUAGGCUUACUGCUGGAAUUCCAAUUAGUUUCGAUGCUGAAUAGCAACGUGUAAUUCUAUGCUUACAAGCUGCAAUCGAAAGUUGAGCAUUUGAGAUUUAUCCAACCAAACCUGCGAGCUUUUGAAGGGGCUCUACAUCUCCAUAGCAGUUGGCAAGGCCAAGGUUUAGAGGUACUCGCCAAGUUGAGCAUUCUGUAAUAACAUGCCUUUACCAUGUUCAAUUGUCUGAAAACAAAAUCCUUCCCUCCUGUUAUUCCGAGGGAGAACUUAGGUUCUAAUCUCUUAAUCUUGACAAUACCUGCUGGUUUUUCUAUAGCUUUGAGGAUACCAAUGCUUUCAAAAUCUUUCUUUGCUUACACUAAGUAGUUUGUGUUACCUAUCAUCUGUCCUAUACUGAGUAACCUGAAAAGAGGUCAUGUGUAUCCUUCUCAUCAAAUGAAGAAGAUUAGCCAUACAAUUAUGCAAGAAAAAAUUCUGAUUAGGUAGUAAUUAUCCUCAAUUGUUGUACAGAAUUGAGUGGUACGUAGUGCUAAGUAUUAAACUACCGUGAGGAGCUUCAUUUAUCUACACAUUUAGCCACAUAUGGUUUCUGAAUAAAAGAGAUACACACAGUAAAUGAGUUUUGGCAUUUGCUGUUUGUGUGUCACUUUUAAUUAGUAUGAAUUGUGAAAUCUAUGUUUUUUUUUUCCCGGAAGAAUGUAGCCAAAACUAGACUAAAUGUAGAUAUCCUAUAGUUCCAUUAAUAGACAGGCUUUUGACAAGUAAAUGCAUUAGUAUCUUGCAAAGCUUUAACAUGACCUUUUAAAUAUGUGAUCAUUGGUGAGUUUGAUAAAUGAGGUUGCGACUUCUGUGCCGAAUUUGUUUGAUGCUUCACUGGGAUAGUCCCACUACAAAAAGACUGGAUAUAGAUCUCUUCUCUUGCUUCAAAUGUCUCAUGGUCUGGGCAAUCUUGAAAGAAAUGAAUUGAAUUAAUUUUACAAAAAGAAUAUAUGGAUCAUAUACAUUGAAAUUGUAGGAAACAGUGCACCAUUAUAUGGAUGGUGUAAUUACGAAGUAUUAUGUCUCAUAGUCUAUGUUUCACAUGGUAAAGUUGGGCAAUCCUUAACAGGUUCUGUAAAACGCGCUGAGUAACUAUAUGAGCAUCAACCACAUUGGGUUAUUACCAGAUAAGGUGGCAUUUUCACCUAAGACAUGCAUUACUCAUUGGAUUGUUUGGCUCGUGCAUUCAAAACAUUUUCUUUCAUAAUUUUUUUAAAGGUAUUUGUAUACGUUAUAUUAUAUGUUUUGUAUUUUAAUUUUAUAGAGAUACCGAGUGAAGAGAGAGACACUCACACCCCGCUAAAAAAUUGAAAUGAUAGACUCUUGUUUAUAUUAAUCCAAAUCUGUUUUAUAUGGUUAUACCAAUUACUUUGAGGAGUAACAACGUUGCCCAUCCUACUUUGCAGGUUCUGUUUGUUCACAAAUACAGUGGUGGGACGGUUCUUGGUUCAGUGCUUCCUUAUUUCAUCCUCCUAUUUUAUGUUGGUUGUAGUCAUGAUCUAUAUCCAACAGUUAACUCAAGUUUAUACAUAGCCAGAAAGUGAUCUGAAUUAUAUUAGUUUACUGAUAUUCUUAAUCAGCAUAUGUGGCAACUUACAUCAUCUUACGUCCUUUCCAAUCUCAGAGACAAGAGAGAGAAGGGCUAUAAAAUUCCCUAAGGGUGGCCUUUCCAGUGUGGUCAUCUGCCCUCAUUGUCGUUUCAAAAUUCUUGACUGUUUAGGGAUUCCAUUCAUCUCCCAGACACCAUUUUCUUUUUAAUGUGCUGUAGGUGUAUCUUUAUAUCUGCUGGGAAAGAGCAAUGUUACUAGGAAAUGAUACCUUUCCAAAUUUGAAAUUUUCGUAAGAAUGUUAAGGCCUUGAUUCCUUUUGCUUUCCAGUAAAUAUUGAAAGUGCUUCUUUUUAUCCCAAUUCGGUUCCAUACAAUUUGCUUGCUUGAUUGAAAAAUGUCGUAGUUUGUCUUAACGUUCCACUCUACAAUACAAUAACACUUCUACCAUGUAUAAGUAGAAGCACAAAAA